UUCUUAUAAAAUAUAAUUAUAAGUAUAAUCUGCUCAAUGUUGAUAUAAAUAGCUGCAAUUUAUUUGUACUAAGGUAGCAUAAUCAUUUGUUUUUUAAUUAAAAACUAGAAUGAAAGAUUAAACAUUUUAAUUUCUUUAUUAAAUCUAUCUAUUUAAUUUUUAUUAAAUAUAAAAAUAUAUUUAUAAAAAAAAAAGACGACAAGACCCUAUCGAACUUAACUUUUUGUUUAGCUGGGGCAGCUAAAUAAUUAAAAUUUUAUUAAUCAAAUUUUACUAAAAAUUAAUCCAAUAAAAUUGAUUAUUUGAAUAAGUUACCGUAGGGAUAACAGCGUUAUAUUCUUUUUAAGUUCUUAUUUAAAAGAAAUUUUACGACCUCGAUGUUGAAUAAUUAUCUUUAUAAUGCAAUAAUUAUAAAAGAAGGCCUGUUCGACCUUUAAAUCAUUACA
rnacentral:rRNA from 1 species